AGGUAUUGCAUAUGUAGUAAAACUAAACCGUGAUGGCUAAGCCGAAUUAAUUUAACCCAUACUGAUUUACUGCAUAUGUACAUAAUUUAUACAAGAAAGUUAUUUGAAAUUUAUCAUUUACAAAAUAAAUUACCUAGCCCAUAAUGAUAAACGAGUUUCUAUCGUUUUUUUUUUACUUUUACUCUUCUUCCCGUGUUGAGAAUAAACUUGGGAAAAUCACUCCGGCUUGAAACUAAUUGUUAGCUGAUUCGACAAGCUGCUCAAAUUAUGAACCAUUAUUUAACUACUAUUUUUUGCAAAAUUACGAUAAAUCAUCAACCGAGCCAGUGUCGUUAAUUAUUCAGGAUGAGUGACAAAUUAUAUUAUUUUGCCUAUAGACUUUACCUAUCAAGAUUUUCUAAAGUCAUCGAUUAUUUUUAUUUGCAGCAAAGAUAAGCCGGAGAUAUCCAGUGAUAUAUUUAAGUGGACGUAAUCAUCCAGAAUGCUGCCAACUUGAAACCAGUCGAUACGGCGUUUAUAAAACCACCCCCACCCAAUUCCACCAACCCGAAUGGUUCUCCAAACUCCUGCUCUUUCCCCAUCGACAAGUCCAUGUUACCCCCCACGGAAAAUUCCCCCUUCGUCAACAACAUCCCUUCCACAAACUUAAUUAAGGUGUGAACAAGUUGUAAUAUUUAAAUGCUUAAUCAGAUUAAUUAUAUGCAUAUAUAUUUAAUUUAAUACUUUUAGUGAAAUCUGUGUGUAAUUUUUAUUUAUAAUU